CACUUCUCUUAACUUCAUCUCCUUGGUGAACUGGGAUUCCCUCCAUCACAGAAGAUGUCUUGCUCCAAAGCUCUCUGUUGCCUACCCCAGGAUUAUUAUGCCGAUAUAUGCCCACGCCCAUGUAUUGACGUCUGCAACAAGCUGUGUGUCACAUCAUGUGGAGAUUCAACUGCAGUGUUCUUUGCACCACCAGUUAUUGUGAGAUUCCAGAGACCAACUCUCGCUACUUGCCCUCAAGACAGCAUCCUGGGAACAACCUUACCAAAUUUGCCCGCAAGACCUGGGGGCUUCUCUGGUUCUAGUGGUGGUUUCAGUGGCUCAUUUGGUUAUGGGGGAGGUUAUGGUGGUGGUUUAAGGGGUGGACUCAGGGGUGGUUAGGAGGCUCAUAUGGUUAUGGGGGCCCAUGCGGUUACGGCAGAAGGUCACAACGUAGCAUUUCCAUUUCUGGGGGAGGAUAUUCUGGAUAUUGUGGGCCAUGUUAAAUCCAGAAGAACAAUCCAUGGAAUGAGAAACAAUCAGGAAAUGACAAGAUAGAAAUU